GGGCGAGUAGCCGAACUGGUACAGGCGCACGGCUUAGAACCGUGUUUCCGUAAGGAUAUGUGGGUUCGAAUCCCGCCUCGCCCA
rnacentral:tRNA from 1 species